rnacentral:rRNA from 1 species
CCUACGGGAGGCAGCAGUAGGGAAUUUUCGGCAAUGGGGGGAACCCUGACCGAGCAACGCCGCGUGAACGAAGAAGUUAUUCGUAAUGUAAAGUUCUUUUAACAGGGAAGACAGAGAAAUUAGACGGUACAUGAAGAAUAAGUUCCGGCUAACUACGUGCCAGCAGCCGCGGUAAUACGUAGGGGUAGAGCGUUAUCGGGAAUUAUUGGGCGUAAAGGGUGGGUAGAUGGCAUAGUAAGUCUUUUGUAAAUAUGCUGGGCUAAACCCAGUAGGGCAAAAGAUACUGAAAAGCUAGAGUAUGACAGAGGCAAGUGGAACGACAUGUGUAGCGGUAAAAUGCGUAAAUAUAUGUAAGAACACCAGUGGCGAAGGCGGCUUGCUGGGUCGAUACUGACAUUGAGGCACGAAAGCGUGGGGAGCAAACAGGAUUAGAUACCCGGGUAGUC